UUUAAGCUUCCUACGGGAGGCUGCAGUGGGGAAUCUUGCGAUGGGGGGAAAGCCUGACGCAGCCAUGCCGCGUGAAUGAUGAAGGUCUUAGGAUUGUAAAAUUCUUUCACCGGGGACGAUAAUGACGGUACCCGGAGAAGAAGCCCCGGCUAACUUCGUGCCAGCAGCCGCGGUAAUACGAAGGGGGCUAGCGUUGCUCGGAAUUACUGGGCGUAAAGGGAGCGUAGGCGGACAUUUAAGUCAGGGGUGAAAUCCCGGGGCUCAACCUCGGAAUUGCCUUUGAUACUGGGUGUCUUGAGUAUGAGAGAGGUGUGUGGAACUCCGAGUGUAGAGGUGAAAUUCGUAGAUAUUCGGAAGAACACCAGUGGCGAAGGCGACACACUGGCUCAUUACUGACGCUGAGGCUCGAAAGCGUGGGGAGCAAACAGGAUUAGAUACCUUGUAGUCGAAUUCUU
rnacentral:rRNA from 1 species